GCAACGUCCUCUGCUGUUGGUGACCUGAGAUACCACUUCAAGAAAAUUUCGACAAUUGCGCGACAAAAGCGCUUCAUGCAUUCGAUUGCCGUAGACUCUCCUAUUUUGAUGUAUUCAUCGGUGGCAUCAGCAGGCAUUCCAUAUGCCAAGAUCCGAAUGGCAGCUGUUACUUUUUGCAAGGUUGAUAAGCCCAAUCUUCCUAAAGCAUCACGUCGUUGAGUGAAGUAGUUGUCAUGUUGUUUAACAGCAUCGAGAACGAGAUGAUAAGAUAUUACUAACAAAUUUAGAUUCUGUCGAUGAUCAUACACAUUAGUAUAUGCGAAUGGAAAAAGAGAGAAUCAUGCAAAAAAGAACUCAAGAGCAACAACAACCUUCAUUUGAUCCAAAUAUUUAUCAACCAUAUUUUGAUUAUCUUGGAGGUUCAGGGUCCGGUUAACCAAUGAAUUUUACAAUUAGUAAUAUGUAAUAUUUAAAUGUUCAUGUAAUUUGCUUUAAUUUGUGCUAAGCUUGUUUAAUGUAAUUUUAUUUUGUGUGAAUUUUAUUUUAUGUAUUUUUAUUUUGUGUGAAUUUUAUUUUAUGUAUUUUUAUAUUGCAUGAACUUUAUUUUAAUGUUAUGUAAUAUUUAUCUUAUUUUAUUUUAUUUUGGUGUACUUAAGUUAUUCUAAAUUAAGUUUAGUAUAUGUAUUUAUGAAAAAAUAACUAUAAGGACCAAAAAGAAAAUACAAGAUAGUUUUGAGAUUGUGAAUAGUAAAAUCUCAAAUUUGAGAUUUCACUAUUCACAACCUCAAAAUUUGAAGAUUUGAAGUUAGGUUGGAAUGAUCCAAAACCUCAAAAUUUAAGGAUUUGAGGUUGGGUUGGAGAUGCUGUUAGAGCAUGUACAUUGAGGUAUCAUAAGAGGGUCAUGGGCCUGGGUUCACAGGUUUUUAAUUUGAAAAGAAAAAGGAAAAUGGGUAAUAUUAAGUGAACCGGGCCGCUCUCGUGAACUUGUGUGAGACGAGUUCAACACACGUGGAGGCACCAGAUUGGCUGGACGGAGUCGUGAUGACGACGCGGAAAGGAGGUGUUUCGCGUUAUUCUCCUCAUUUCCUCUUCUCUCCCAAAUAGCUAGGGUUUGCGACUCGAGAGGCGAUUCUUGUAGCUAGGGCGAUCGAGAGGUCUUUUUUCCAUAAAAUCGAGGAGGUAGUGUCUCUUGAUCGAUCUCAGGUCCGUUUUCGAGUAGAUUAACGUUGUUAGGGUUUGUUUAUACGGGUUUCAUCGAUUCGAUCUGAAGUUGAAUUGGGGGUUUCUCCUCCAAUAGAGUCUGGAGGAGAGAUCGAUUACGAGGUUUGUAGUUAAUCGAUCUGUUUGUUAGGGUUCCAUCGAGUCUGAGAUUUGAAAUCGAGGGUUUAUUUGUUAGGGUUCCAUCGAGUCUGAGAUUUCUUUGUUAGGGUUCGAUCGAGUCUGAGAUUUGAAAUCGAUUAGAGGGUUUUUUUAUUUAUGGUUGAAUAGAGUCGAUCUGAAAUCGAAUUGGGGGUUUAUUUGUUUGGGUUCUUUGUUUGGGUUCGUUAAAGAUUGGGUUGUGUUUCCGAGUAGAUUUGAAAUCAAUUAGAGACUAGUGUUUCUCUUACUUAACUGUUUCUCUUACUUAGUUUAAUCAUAUUGGGUUGUGUUUCAUUGUUUGGGUUAUGUUCUUUGUUUCUCUUACCGGUUCGUUUAAUCAUAUUAUUUGUAGUUAGUAUGUUCUAAUCAUUUCUUCUUUCUGGUGCAGAUGGAUCCCGCAGAAGAAAUAAGACAUUCAAAGAAACAAAGGGACUACUGCAACAUGUUAUGGUUCGUCCAGGAUUCACAGUACGGGAUUCCAAGAAGGUGUGCUUGCGGUGGGAAAAUCAUUGACAAGGUCCGGGGGAAGGAAGACUACGACAGUCAUCCUGGAAAGCGCUACUAUACGUGCAUCAACUAUGAAGUAAGUUUUAUUUUCUUAAUUAUGUUCUUAAAAUAAAAAUAACAGGAACUGUCUAUAAUAUUUGUUUUUUGUUGUCAACAAGGAUGAUGGGUUGCAUUAUAGUCAUCCUUGGGUGGUUGGUGUCCAGGAGGAGAUCGAAAGGCUGAGGAAGCGUCUGGAGGAUGCUGAGGAGGAGAUCAAGGGGGUGUGGAAUCUCAAGUUCCAGAUUCAGACCCUGCAGGAACAGGUAAGAAGCCUCACUGUCCAGGUCGGUACCCUGGAGAAGGUGUGCUUCGACUGAAAAUCAGAGGUUGCUAUGUCACGGGUUGCUAUGUCUGUUGCUGGAUCACUGGUUGCUAUGUCUGGAUCACGGGUUGCUAUGUCUGUUGCUGGUUUAAUAAGUCUGUUGUUGCUUUAUUUGUACGGGAUCAGUGUAGUAUUUUGUUAGUUUCUACACUGAUGUUGCUUUAUGAUGAACGGAUGCAGUGGAGUCUCUCUCACACUGCUACUAUGUCCUUUUGUUUCACGGGUUGUACUAUGUUUCGACACUAGUUUAUUUAAGUCACGGGUCAUGUAACAAAGGGUCAUGUAACAAAGAAGCAUAUAUAAAUAUGCUCUUGAUGUAUGUUUCUAAAUCAGAACUCAACUACUUCUCUUUCUGUCUCUGUCUUUGAAUUUCAAAAUUUCAAGAACACAACUUCUGAAACACUUGAUCAACUACUUCUCUUCCUUGAUGUCUUUCUGAAACACUUGAUCAACUACAAACGAAGAGGACAACUACGCUUCUACUGCCUCACCCAACCGAGAACAACACAACCAACGUAAGCUCUUCAUUACAUUAUAAUACUUAGGUUAAACGGGAUCUACAUGAUCAGAAGUGGAACAAUACUAGAUUGUGAAUCCAAAUUAUAAUGAUGAUCAAUCAUAUUGAUGGUCCAAUACAUGGCUAAUAUCCAACUUAGGCAAUGUUACUUUAAAAUUGAUAAAAUUCAUAAAUUAUAAAUUUUUAAUUUGUUAUAUUUUGGACUAGAGAAUAAAAUUGAUAAUUUGUUAUAUUUUGGAGUAGAGAAUAAAAUUGAUAAUUUUUAUUUUUUUUGAAAAAAGGAAGAAUGUCAAGCUCCUCAAAUGAUGAAGUAUAUGAAGUUUUUGAAGAAAUGGUGGACCAACAAAUCGAUGAUUUCAUCGACUCUGUUCUAACCAAAGAGCCGAAGAGACGAGCAUACAUCGAAAGAGAUCGGGAACAAGGACACAAUCAACUAUGGCAGGAUUACUUCAGUGAAAAUCCUACAUACACACACGACAUGUUUAGGCGGCGUUUUCGAAUGAACAAGUCUUUGUUCCUUCGCAUUGUCGAACGCCUAGGUAAUAAAAUUCCAUACUUUCAGCAACGAAGAAAUGGUCAUGGAAGGAACGGCCUCUCUACACUUCAAAAAUGCAGUUCAGCCAUACGAUCGUUGGCAUACGGUCAAGCGGGAGAUGUCAAUGACGAAUAUCUCCGACUUGCGGCAAGUACUGCAAUUUUAUGUUUGGAGAAUUUUGCGGAAGCGAUAAUACAAUUGUUUGGAGAUGAGUAUCUAAAAAGACCUACAACAGAAGAUCUUCAAAGACUACUUGACGUUGGAGAGGCACGCGGGUUUCCGGGGAUGAUAGGCAGCAUCGAUUGUAUGCAUUGGGAGUGGAAAAACUGCCCUACGGCUUGGAAAGGUCAGUUCACACGUGGUUCAGGAAAGCCGACGAUUGUCUUAGAAGCUGUGGCAUCACAAGAUCUUUAGUUAUGGCACUCAUUUUUCGGAUUACCAGGUACCCUAAACGAUAUCAAUGUUCUUGAUCGGUCACCAGUUUUUGAUGACAUUUUACAAGGUCGAGCACCUAAAGUGAAGUUCAAGGUCAACAACCACACUUAUCGUAUGACCUACUAUCUUACCGACGGAAUUUAUCCUAAUUGGGCAACAUUUAUCCAAUCCAUCCCGCUUCCUCAAGGUCUUAAAGCCCAGAAAUUUGCAGAAAAGCAAGAAUCCGUCAGAAAAGAUGUCGAACGGGCAUUUGGAGUCUUGCAAUCGAGGUUUGCAAUUGUAAAAAACCCUGCUCUAAAAUGGGACAAGGAAAAGAUAGGAAAGAUAAUGAGAACAUGUGUCAUAUUGCACAAUAUGAUAGUAGAGGACGAACGACAUGGAUACACUCUAGUUGAUACAUCUGAGUUCGAGUCAGGAGAAUCUAGCCGAAGUGCCAAGGUGAAAACGAGAGAAAGUGUGAAUGUCGAUAUUCUUAACAUUCGCAAUCAAAUUCGGGAUCCAGGCGUACAUGAGCGUUUGAAAGCUGAUUUAGUUGAAAAUGUUUGGGAAAAAUUUGGUAAUCGUGAUAAAUAAUCUUUGUAUGUUCAUGAUUUUUCAAUGUAUUGAAUAAAAACUUUUCAUAAAUAAUGUAAAAUAUUUAGUAAGUUUCUUUUAAAAAAAUAAUUUUUUUUUAAAUGAAAAAUUAUUAUUUUUUAAAUGAAAAUUUUUUUUUUUUUUUUUAAAUAUUAUUUUAUUCUUAUGAACCCGGAUUUGAGGUUCAUUGAUGGAAAAGCACAAUUGAGCCGGGUUCAACACUGUUCACGGACCCACAAUUAAAUACAUAAAAAAAUACAUAUGAACUUCAAUUGGGGGUUCAUUGAUGUACAUGCUCUUAGCAUAGCAAACAAAGCAAUAAGUACAAACCGAAUAUUCGGAACGGGAAACGGUUAGAAACACACAUAUAGCUACUAUCGAUGCCCAAUCCAUGCUUCGUAAAAUAAUAGAAAAAAAUAUCGAACAAAUGUUUAGUAAAAAAUAAUAAUAUAUCGAACGAAUGCAAAUAGACAUAGAUAUAGACAUUUUGUCCGUAUACCAAAUUGGAUAUAUAUAUAUAGCUUGGUUGGUUUUGUAAACUACCUAUUUUUAUUGCAAUUUAGUUGUUGGAAAAAGAUAGUCUUGUAGUUAAAAUAACAAGUCCGAAAGUGUGUGAUGAUUUAUAUUUUCAAGUUAUACCUAAUCAAGUAAAUACCUAACUAGAAGAGUUCGCUUGCGUGUUUUUAAACUUUUUUUUUUACCAAGAACUGGUCAAUAAUACAGUGUCUCAGAACCGAAUGUUUUUAUGUUUUGGACUAAACUAAUGCAAUUAAAACUCCUCGUUCUUUCUAGUUGUUCACCUAAAGGAAUCAUGAUGUUUUUUUCUUUUGUAAAAUAGUCUCUUUAAUUUUUAGUUCAAAAAAAAAAGUCUCUUUAAUUUAUAUAAACA